CAUUUAGUUGGGCACUCUAAGGUGACUGCCGGUGACAAACCGGAGGAAGGUGGGGAUGACGUCAAAUCAUCAUGCCCCUUAUGACCUGGGCUACACACGUGCUACAAUGGACGAUACAAACGGUUGCCAACUCGCGAGAGGGAGCUAAUCCGAUAAAGUCGUUCUCAGUUCGGAUUGUAGGCUGCAACUCGCCUACAUGAAGCCGGAAUCGCUAGUAAUCGCGGAUCAGCAUGCCGCGGUGAAUACGUUCCCGGGCCUUGUACACACCGCCCGUCACACCACGAGAGUUUGUAACACCCGAAGUCGGUGA
rnacentral:rRNA from 1 species